CGUAGGGGGCAAGCGUUGUUCGGAAUUACUGGGCGUAAAGGGCGCGUAGGCGGCACGGCAAGUCAGGAGUGAAAGCCCGGGGCUCAACCCCGGAAUGUCUUUUGUAAACUGCCGAGCUAGAGUGCGGAAGAGGCAACUGGAAUUCCCAGUGUAGCGGUGAAAUGCGUAGAUAUUGGGAAGAACACCUGAGGCGAAGGCGGGUUGCUGGGCCGACACUGACGCUGAGGCGCGAAAGCCAGGGGAGCGAACGGGAUUAGAUACCCCGGUAGUCCUGGCCCUAAACGAUGGAUACUUGGUGUGUGGGGUUCGUCAAAGUCCCCGCCGUGCCGGAGUCAACGCGUUAAGUAUCCCGCCUGGGGAGUACGGUCGCAAGGCUG
rnacentral:rRNA from 1 species